rnacentral:misc_RNA from 1 species
AAGUCGUAACAAGGUCUCCGUUGGUGAACCAGCGGAGGGAUCAUUACUGAGUGUAAAAACUCCCAAACCACUGUGAACAUACCAUGUUGCUUCGGCGGUUCCCGUCCUGUCCUGCCUCACCGCGAGCCAGGCCGGGCCGCCGCCGGAGGACCCAAACUCUUGUCUUUAUAGUGACUUUCUGAGUGGCAUAAGCAAAAUAAAUCAAAACUUUCAGCAACGGAUCUCUUGGUUCUG